AAAGAUUAAGCCAUGCAUGUCUAAGUAUAAGCAAUUAUACCGUGAAACUGCGAAUGGCUCAUUAAAUCAGUUAUCGUUUAUUUGAUAGUACCUUACUACUUGGAUAACCGUGGUAAUUCUAGAGCUAAUACAUGCUGAAAACCCCAACUUCGGGAGGGGUGUAUUUAUUAGAUAAAAAACCAACGCCCUUCGGGGCUUCUUGGUGAUUCAUGAUAACUUCACGGAUCGCAUGGCCUUGCGCCGGCGACGGUUCAUUCAAAUUUCUGCCCUAUCAACUUUCGAUGGUAAGGUAUUGGCUUACCAUGGUUU
rnacentral:rRNA from 2 species